GGGGCUGAUCUGGAUUUGACAGCAAGUCGAGUGGGGAUGUAAGCAUGUCGAGCGUGGUGAAUAUGGCUCGUUAAUCCCAUGUCACAUCGCCUAUAAACGGCAACACUAACUACGCAAUGGCUGCCUGACAGAAGCUGUCAGACGCCAUUUGUUUCCCGGGAAGCCACAUCCGGCCGCGUCCCCAAGGAAACAUCAUCAAAAGCCGGGUUAAGCCAUGUAAGGCCCUGGUGCAUGGACGAAAAACAUAAGGGCUCAGGUAAUGUGAAGGGUCGCCUUUUCCCAAUGCAAUACCGAAACCUCAACUAAAGGAUAAGCAUGUAGAAAGCAUUCUUGCUGCUUGUUUGGACGUGGGUUCGAACCCCACCAGCUCCACCA
rnacentral:tmRNA from 1 species